CCCCCCCCACCCCCCCGCCCCGGGGCUUCCCUGUGCCUGGGUCUUCCUGGCAUCCCCAGCGCCCGUUACCCGGGUGGGUCCUGCCCCUGCACCCAACCUGCUCCCCCCUCCCCAGGUGGGUCCUCCCCGUGCCUCCACACCCGGGCCCUGCCAGCAUCCCUGGCGCCCCUUCCCGCAAUGGCCAUCACAGCCUCCACGCUGGUCCAGAGCCCCUCCCAGGGCCUCCAGCCCCCUCUCUCCCACUCUCCCCUCCCCGGAGAAGGUGGCUCUCCCAAGUCCCCCCGCCCCGCCCCCCCCCCCCACCUGCCCUGAAUCCCAGCCGCCCAGCCUCAGCCACAUGGCCCUGCUGCUGCACACCUCCCUUCCGGGCCUGGCUCUCUCCACCCACCCCAGGGGGGUCUUUGUCUCUGCCCUCACUGCCCAGCCCCCAUGGCCAUGCUUGGACACUGGUGGUGCCCCCAUCCACAUGGGCAAGUUCCCCGGCUGGUGCGGCCUCCCUGAACUGUGGCCUCGUGAAAAGGCCAAGCCCAGUCCGCCGCCCAUGAGGUUGGGGAGGUGGGCCCUGAGGCUGGAAGGACCGCCUCUGUGUGGAACAAGACUAACAUCCAGCGCCCUGCCCUAAACCAGCCCUGAGGCGGUCGACAGAUCCCGGGUAAAUUGCAGAAAUUCAGUGUCAACUGCAGAAAUUCUACGAUUUCAUCCAUUAGUUAGCAGUGCAAACAGACGUUCACAGGGAUGUUCUGUGCGGCUAAAUCCACACAUCCAACAACAGACAAACUGGAAGAGGGAGGGAGGAGGCGAGGGGCCAGCGCAAACCCCGUAGAGAAUGCUCCUGAAGCAGAAGACGACUCCCCAGGAGUGCCACCAGUCACGAACGAACAUGAGAGGAACGUGCGAUCGCUAAUCAGAAGCCCAAGUAGUGGAUGACAAAACAGCAGACUGGAAGCAAGAUUAACAGCCGAGGAAACUCGCUUCCUCACAAUCACAGCAUUCUGGAAUAAGUCUGAAGCAGCACGGGGCACGACGUCAGAUUACCGAUGGGGCAAAGGCUGGAGACCAUCUGCGGGCAAGACAAAGCAACAGAAACAAGAAUUUAUUUGUUCGACCGUUACUUGUGGAACGUCUGCUUGGUGCCACAGUUUAGAUGGGCGGGGGGGGGGGGGGCAGGGGGUAAGGACACACGAUCUCUGCCCUCGGGGAGCACACAGCCCAGUGGGGAGGAAGGCAGGGAUGAUAAUACACGAUGAGGUCACGUGUCCUGAAGAGGGUGGGGGGGACAAUUGUUGAGAGAGAUCAGGACGUUGGGAAGGAGGGACCCUCAGCCCUGCGCAGGUGCGGCACCCCUCAGGGCCCACGGGGCGCGGGCUUCGCCACUGGAGGGCUCAGAGUGACCUUUCUUCGGGGAACCCCUGGCGGUGGCACCCGGUGGGGGCUGAGAAGAUGCAGAGGCUCCAGUGGCAGAGGGCUCGGAGGGGGCGCAGAGAUCGGUGUCCCAGAGUGACAAGGGUCCUGCAGGCCGUGCUCAGCAGGAUCCGCACUGAGGCCUACCGCGCCUGAACCCGGCCGUCAGGGGUCAGUAGAACUGUUUAUCGGGAAGCACAGAUCGCAGACACAGCAGACUCGGACAGAAAGCCAGGUUGACCCUCACUUCUGCAGUGACACUCAGAGCGGGAAGACCCAGCCCUGAGGGAAAGACGGUGUCACCCAAGACAGGAAGGAAGGGUCCCCGGCCAGCUCUGGUGUGGGUCUAAGGGCCUCAGGGAAACCUCUGUAAACCUAGAAGAAUCCAAGAAAUAAACGUUUUCAGACACAUAAA